rnacentral:rRNA from 1 species
GUCGUCAGCUCGUGUCGUGAGAUGUUGGGUUAAGUCCCGUAACGAGCGCAACCCUUGUCCUUAGUUACCAGCACGUUAUGGUGGGCACUCUAAGGAGACUGCCGGUGACAAACCGGAGGAAGGUGGGGAUGACGUCAAGUCAUCAUGGCCCUUACGACCAGGGCUACACACGUACUACAAUGGUCAGUACAAAGGGUUGCCAAGCCGCGAGGUGGAGCUAAUCCCAUAAAACCGAUCGUAGUCCGGAUCGCAGUCUGCAACUCGACUGCGUGAAGUCGGAAUCGCUAGUAAUCGCGAAUCAGAAUGUCGCGGUGAAUACGUUCCCGGGCCUUGUACACACCGCCCGUCACACCAUGGGAGUGGG